GAACAGAGUAUUCACAAAAACGUGUCCGAAUACUAGCUUAGCCGUGUAGUAGCCAGAUAAUUGUCACUUCUCUUCCCAAAAGAGACUGGUCACGCACCAUAAUUGGAUGUACACUUA
ensembl:ncRNA C08G9.8 ncRNA